GUGGGGAAUCUUGCACAAUGGGGGAAACCCUGAUGCAGCGACGCCGCGUGAGUGAUGACGCCCUUCGGGGUGUAAAGCUCUUUCGACGGGAACGAUUAUGACGGUACCCGGAGAAGAAGCUGCGGCUAACUACGUGCCAGCAGCCGCGGUAAUACGUAGGCAGCAAGCGUUGUUCGGAAUUACUGGGCGUAAAGAGUAUGUAGGUGGUUUGCUAAGUCCGAUGUGAAAUCUCCCGGCUUAACUGGGAGGGUGCGUUAGAUACUGGCAGGCUUGAGUGUGGGAGAGGAAAGCGGAAUUCCUGGUGUAGCGGUGAAAUGCGUAGAUAUCAGGAGGAACGCCUGUGGUGUAGACGGCUUUCUGGACCAUUACUGACACUGAGAUACGAAAGCGUGGGUAGCAAACAGGAUUAGAAACCCUGGUAGUCC
rnacentral:rRNA from 1 species